GAUGAACGCUGGCGGCAUGCCUAACACAUGCAAGUCGAGCGGCAGGACGAGGUGCGUACUGGUCGGGCGUUGCCCGCGGGCGGGUGAGUUAUACGACCGUACCCUACCUAUGGGACUGACAUACCGAAGGAAAAGCUAAGCUCAUACACGAUCUUAUGUUGAACACCGGGGAUCGAAAGUGCCGGUGGUUAUUGAUGGGCCUUUACCAGAUUAGCUAGUCGGUGAGGUAAGGGCUUACCAAGGCGACGAUCCGUAGCUGAUCUGAGAGGACGACCUGCCACACUGGAACUGAGACACGGUCCAGACUCCUACGGGAGGCAGCAGUAGGGAAUUGUAGACAAUGGGCGAAAGCCUGACCCAGCAAAGCCGCGUGAGUGAAGAAGGUCUUCGGAUUGUAAAUCUCUGUUAUUAGGGAAGAAAAAAUAGGGAAGUAUCUACUCAGUUCUUGACGGUACCUAAUGAAUAAGCACCGGCUAACUACGUG
rnacentral:rRNA from 1 species